UACGGAGGGAGCUAGCGUCAUUCGGAAUUACUGGGCGUAAAGCGCACGUAGGCGGCUUUGUAAGUAAGAGGUGAAAGCCUGGAGCUCAACUCCAGAAUAGCCUUUUAGACUGCAUCGCUUGAAUCAUGGAGAGGUGAGUGGAAUUCCGAGUGUAGAGGUGAAAUUCGUAGAUAUUCGGAAGAACACCAGUGGCGAAGGCGGCUCACUGGACAUGUAUUGACGCUGAGGUGCGAAAGCGUGGGGAGCAAACAGG
rnacentral:rRNA from 1 species